UGUUUAUAUUUAGCGCCUGGACAAUUUUUAAAUUGUUGACGAGGAGGAGGUUUAUCGAAAGACUCGGCGGAUGCCUCCUGGCAUAAUUACUGUCAUCAGUUUUUAGCUAAAAACUAAUAGCAAUAUUAGAAAACAGAGGCUAAUUACACGUAAUUU
rfam:Clostridium sp. CAG:780 genomic scaffold, scf169